CUGAAAAUGAGAGAGAUUUGAAAUCAGGAGAAUUAUUUUAAGGCUGUUUUACAAGCAGUCAGAUUCCUAGUUCACUCUCAACUUAUUGCAGCUGGGUGACUUCCCCUGCCAGACACCAAGAGCAGAGCAGAAGAGCAGAGGUUCCUGUAUAUAUGCAUGUGAGGACACAACAUGUCAAGAGCUUCUGGGAAGUGUGGUGUCUGAUAAAACCAGGUCUCAGUACAAGAAAAAAAGGCAGAAAUAAUUCAUGGUAGCCGAAGGAUUUGAAGAGAAUAGAAUUUUACAAGUACUUUGGAGAAAAGGGAGCACAAGAUGUAAGAAAAGGACAUUAAUAAAUAAAAAGACUGGAAGAGGAGAUGAGGACACAGACACACAGAGGGAAGAACAUGCGAAGACAGAGAGGGAAGAUGGCCAUGGAAAAGCUAGAGAGAGAGAGAGUUCUCAGAAGAAUUAACUCUGCCAACAUCUUGAUCUCAGAUUUCUAGCCUCCAAAGAAGAGUGUGAAGAGUGAACACAAGCAGAGAGAAUGUACAUUAAGUCACUGAUUUGACAACAUCUAGGAGCGCUGGCUCCAAUGUGAGUAGCAGACUCAGUCUCCCUUUAGUGCCAAGCAGAGGAUUACUCGUGGAGAUAGAGUGGAGCACCCAGGAGAAAUGGAUUCUGAGGAAACAAAAGCAUCGCCUUGAUAUUAUUCCCUUGAGUGUGACUAUAAACCAUGAAAUGAGUGACAGACAAAAACUGCUUAAGUUGAGGCAUAUAUUUUCACUGUAUUUUGGAUGCUGCUACUCUGACGAUGUAUUUUAAGCCCAGUAUUCUUUCUUCUUUUUUUGUUCUUUUUUUUUUUCUUUAAAUUCUCAUUCACUUGUGUGAAAGCUGCUCUUCUCAAGACUGAAGCUUUUCUGUAGUAAUGUCUGUUUAGAUUUGAAUCUACUAGGGCCUUGGCACAUAUGGCUAGAAUGCUCUAUUUUUAAAGAUAUAUUGUGUCUGUUAAUACAAAGGUCAUGAUGUAGAUUUUUGCACUUAGAAUCAGCAUGAGAAUGUGGAACUGUUCCUUGCAGAUCUUGGCUCCAUCAGCAAAUAAAUUAAAAUAAACUGGAGGCUUGAAAUAGAAAUAACCCUCCUUCCAAGUGUUUCAUUUAGAGAAUGACAUCCUGUUUUCUCCAGAAUAUCAUGGGUAAUUCUGCAUAUGAAUGAAUUUGGGAAUAGAAAAAGCCCAGCAAAUGAAACACACAAAAUGACUUUUAGAAUUUUAGGCUUCCGUAAUAAAAAUAAGUGACGAUGGUUUUCUCUUUAAAGUGUGAAGGGUAAAAGGAAACCCAAAACUUACUUACAUAAAGUUUUAGAGUUUUAUAACAAUUUGUGAAAGCAAACAAUAAGUUAAAUUCUACCUGUAAGAGAAUAUAGUAUAUCUUUAAGACAAUAUUGACACAAUUUGGCUGUCACUGAAGUCAGACCAGCUUUCUGAUUACAGUCACAAGUGACUGGACCUAAACAUCACUCACCUGGAAAACUUUGA